AUUGAACGCUGGCGGCAGGCCUAACACAUGCAAGUCGAACGAGUGGCGGACGGGUGAGUAAUGUCUGGGACACUGCCUGAUGGAGGGGGAUAACUACUGGAAACGGUAGCUAAUACCGCAUACCAUCGGAUGUGCCCCGAUGGGAUUAGCUAGUAGGUGGGGUAAAGGCUCACCUAGGCGACGAUCCCUAGCUGGGCUGAGAGGAUGACCAGCCACACUGGAACUGAGACACGGUCCAGACUCCUACGGGAGGCAGCAGUGGGGAAUAUUGCACAAUGGGAGAAAGCCUGAUGCAGCCAUGCCGCGUGUAUGAAGAAGGCCUGCGGGUUGUAAAGUACUUUCAGCGGGGAGGCGUUACCAGCAGAAGAAGCACCGGAUAACUCCGUGCCAGCAGCCGCGGUAAUUC
rnacentral:rRNA from 1 species